rnacentral:rRNA from 1 species
GACAGAGGGUGCAAACGUUGUUCGGAUUUACUGGGCGUAAAGCGCGUGUAGGCGGCUUUGCAAGUCGGAUGUGAAAUCCCACGGCUCAACCGUGGAAGUGCAUCCGAAACUGCAUCGCUGGAGUCUCGGAGAGGAAGGUGGAAUGCUUGGUGUAGAGGUGAAAAUUCGUAGAUAUCAAGCAGAACACCUGCGGCGAAGGCGGCCUUCUGGACGAUGACUGACGCUGAGACGCGAAAGCGUGGGGAGCAAACAGG